rnacentral:misc_RNA from 1 species
CAGCGGCAUCUUCCCGCGUCUUCUUAUCGCCGACACCUUUAGCACUCUGCCUCAGGUGCGGCCAACUCAUAGUGAUCAGCCGAGUUUCUUUGUGUCAGGUGCUGAUGAAGGCGGCGGCAUCGUCGGCGUUUGUUCCUGCUGUUGCUGCUGCUAUUCCCACCGCUGCCUCUUUUUCUUACUCGAGGCCCAAAAUGCCGUCGGCCGAAGCGCUGAGCGGCGGUUCUGGCAGUGACAUUGGCGGCCUGAGGACCGACAGCGGGAGUCGAGCUCGCGCAGGCAAUACCAUAGCCUCUGAAACUGAUGCUGCGACGGAAGCGCAGCGCCUCCGAUCGGAGGGGACCCGGGAGAGCAGGGCUGGCCGUGGUGGCUGCGGCGACGGGAGAGGCGAUGCCUCCGUCAGCUGUGCUGACGUCAGCAUUGACCUGGCCGAGGUGCUUCCUCUCACGAGCUCCCCGCGUCUUUCUGCGAAGCGGGGGACUGGGGGCGGCGGCCGUAGCGCUACUGCCAGAGAAACCGAUGUUUCUGCGCUGCGUGAGGACGAGGUCUUCUCUGCCGAGCACGGUGCGGAGGUGCCCUCUGACCGGCUAGCAGCCCGCGCGGUUCCACUCGACGUGCCGCUCUUGACCACUGUUGAGGAACAGAGGCCGCACGGCUCGGCUUCCGACAUUCCCGCCGUGGUCGUCCUCCGUCAUCGCAUGGGCUGCAGCAUGGUUGUCCUGGCACCGCAUCAGCGAGCGUCCUACAGCCGCUACGACCUGGAGAACUUUGUGCUCUACAAGGAGCAGAAGUACAAUGCCGUCAACGUUCUCUGGCGGUUCUGCAUUCUGAUGCUGCUCGUGCUCAGCUUCACCGUCUUCUGUCUUGUUCUCUGCGCGUGCACGACGGAGUGGCUGAGCGUGCAGAACAACGACUCGUUCUUGUCCGUCGGGCUGUUCUUCUCGUGCCGAGAUGGGUUUCAGCGCACGUGCGCUUCAUGGCAGAGCGCGUGGGUGGAGUGGAUCGUUCUAGACAACGUCACCGGCGCCAUCCUCUGCCAUGCAUCUGCAGGAUUCGUUCGUCGCUUUAUUGGGGUGAUGUGGACGAUGGGCAUUCUGCAACUCCUGUGCGAGGUGGUGGCGCUGUUUCUGGGCUUUCGGAUUGCGGCUCGGCCGACACGAAGUGGUGCGCUUGUGCUGCUCUUUUUCGACCUCCUGCUGAGCCUCUGCAUUGGCAUUGUGACGGUGGUGCUGUUUGACCUCUACACCUCUUGCGUGCGGCGCACCUGCGAGGGCGAGCACGUGCCCGGCGAUGCGUGCAACGUUCACUACCGCUACGGGUACCGGCUGUACAUCGGCGCCGUCGCCGUGCAUGGGCUGCUGCUUGUGCUCGCGCUGUGCAUGCACAGCUACAUCCACAACAUCCGUGUCACGUCGCGCAACCAACUUCGAGCAGAGCGUCACCGGAUCUCCCGCGGUGCUCGGGCUGAAGACUACAUUGUGCAUAUGCUGAACUCGUCGACAACCUCCAGCGUCACACGUGAUGCCGCUGGUGGGAGCUGUGCUCGCAGUACCUGGGACGCCGCACGAACAACCUCGCAGCUUGAUGGUAAUCGGUCGACAAGGCAGCCGAGUAUUGUCGCCUCUGUUCCGAGAAGCGCAACAGCGACCAUCUCCAUGGGUGCCGUUGCAGCCCCUUUCAACAGUCGAAGGCAUGGCGAUCAAGACGGCAGUGAGGAUGAGGGCGCAAAUGGUGACGCGCUGCGCAGCGUCAACUCGACUUCAUUGCAGCCAGCAGCACCCGCACCCGAUAACUUCCUCGCCGGUGGCGUGGAUUUCAACGUCCAGUCUGCGCAUCGUGGCAUUGGCUGUGGCAUCGAUACUGCCACGACUGCUGCGUCAACAAGGCCCACUCCUGGCUCGCUUCCACUGCAGCACGGCGAGCUGCACGUUUCAUUUCUCGGCGUGCCGGACGAUACAGAUGACGAUGCGGGCUUCGGGUUGCUCAGUGACAGCGAAUCUCGCCGCUACCGACAGCAUCCGUCGGUGCCAACGCUUUCCUUCGACGACGGCGGCGCCCGCGCUGCUGCUGCUGGUGCAGCGACGGCGGCAUUCAACGCAUCAGAUCACAACACGGAGAGCAGCUUCGUCACGCGUGGCCGGAGCGCCGGGGCUGCGGUGGCGGCCGCCGGCGACAACGCCCAGCGCCAGCGUCGUGACCGGCAGCGAGCGUCGCCUGGGGAUUUGUCCCUGCCACGCACGGGUCGUCAGCGCAGCGCUGGGCCACAGACGGAAGCGACAGAGUCGUCGCUGUCCUCGAAGCAGAAGCGAGGCCUACCAGACAAGCGGCGUGCAGCGCCGGUUUAUCAGCAAGCCCGCAAGCGUCAGCACAAGUUUCUCCGCUUCUUCAACCGUGAGUACGACUCCAACUACCUUACCGCCGCGGAGCUCGGCGUGCUGAUCGCCGGCGCAACCGACUGGGUCUACGAUGACCGCAGUGACAUGUACUACUCCUUCGACCGCAACAUGUUCUGGGACCCGCUGACGCAGGAGUACUACAACUGCGCUUUAAAGUCGUGGCAGGAAUCACCUGACCAGGCCGUGGAGGUGCGUGACAUGUUGGACUACGUACUUGAGAGCCCGGCGAGCAGCCGUAGCCGCAGUGACAGUCGAUUUAAUCACGAGAGCAACGAGGAUUCGCUUAUGCUGAUUGAGAGCCCCACAAGGAUGGCCACCGACGGCGAUGAUGUGAACUCGAGCGGUGGCGUUCAUUAGACGGAGCUGCGGCGGCAGCGAGCACGGCGACACCACGGUGAGCCGACCACGUCUGUGACAGCCUUCCGCACGAUCACGACGCGAGUCGGUCCGAGUGGUGGUGGCAGGCCGAGCUUGUGCUCCUCUAACAACUGGCAGCAGAGCGGCAAUAUGCGAAGUAGAGAGCGGAUCUUUUCUAGCCCGAGAAUGGAAUGUACGUUGCCGCUGUCUGCCGAGAGCUCGGUGGAGCGUUGGCAGCCCGAAUGAUAUCUCCUCUUGGCACAUGCGCUGAUGAGCGCGCCCCCGCGCGUAUGUGGGCGAUUAUGCGUAGGCUUGCUGUUGUUCGUGUGCGCGCGUACUGCUUCGUUGUAGUAUUCGACGUUCGUCUCCCGUGCAGCUUACCCAUCCCCACUCGUAGACCCCCAGAACGAGCAAGCUCUCCCCCCUCUCCCGCACGAUAUGCAUUUUUUUUUUCCAGCUGUUUUACGCAGGUGCGCCAGCUGACGGCAAUGCACCACAGUCCUGCCGCCUUCCAUGGCCAAAUACGCGAGUGCCUGCGCACGCGCCGCUACGCAAAGCAGUGAAAACGGGGCCGCACGCACUCUGAUAGCGAAGGGCGUUGCGUGGGACGCGCACGUCCAGCAGCUCUCACCCGCCGUCACCGCUCUUAUCGUCGUCGUGCGCGCUGACGCCCCACUUUGUCCUUUUCAAUG